UACGAGGGGUGCAAGCGUUGCUCGGAAUUAUUGGGCGUAAAGGGUAGGUAGGUGGUCUCGUUUGUCUGGGGUGAAAGCCUUGAGCUUAACUCAAGAAGUGCCUUAGAAACGGCGAGACUGGAGUCUUGGAGAGGGUCGUGGAAUUCCCGGUGUAGCGGUGAAAUGCGUAGAGAUCGGGAGGAACACCAGAGGCGAAGGCGGCGACCUGGACAAGUACUGACGCUGAGGCGCGAAAGCGUGGGGAGCAAACAGG
rnacentral:rRNA from 1 species